rnacentral:sRNA from 1 species
AUGUAGCACGCGUACACUCCGGCUCCUUCGCGCCAUCCGCAUCCACCUGACGAUCGCUCGCCGCGGUGUGGUAGCC